UAGAGUUUGAUCAUGGCUCAGAUUGAACGCUGGCGGCAGGCUUAACACAUGCAAGUCGAGCGGAAACGAUGGGAGCUUGCUCCCAGGCGUCGAGCGGCGGACGGGUGAGUAACACUUAGGAAUCUACCUAGUAGUGGGGGAUAGCUCGGGGAAACUCGAAUUAAUACCGCAUACGACCUACGGGAGAAAGGGGGCAGUUUACUGCUCUCGCUAUUAGAUGAGCCUAAGUCGGAUUAGCUAGAUGGUGGGGUAAAGGCCUACCAUGGCGACGAUCUGUAGCUGGUCUGAGAGGAUGAUCAGCCACACCGGGACUGAGACACGGCCCGGACUCCUACGGGAGGCAGCAGUGGGGAAUAUUGGACAAUGGGGGGAACCCUGAUCCAGCCAUGCCGCGUGUGUGAAGAAGGCCUUUUGGUUGUAAAGCACUUUAAGCAGUGAAGAAGACCUAACGGUUAAUACCCGUUAGCGAUGACAUUAGCUGCAGAAUAAGCACCGGCUAACUCUGUGCCAGCAGCCGCGGUAAUACAGAGGGUGCAAGCGUUAAUCGGAAUUACUGGGCGUAAAGCGAGCGUAGGUGGCUUGAUAAGUCAGAUGUGAAAUCCCCGGGCUUAACCUGGGAACUGCAUCUGAUACUGUUAAGCUAGAGUAGGUGAGAGGGAAGUAGAAUUCCAGGUGUAGCGGUGAAAUGCGUAGAGAUCUGGAGGAAUACCGAUGGCGAAGGCAGCUUCCUGGCAUCAUACUGACACUGAGGCUCGAAAGCGUGGGUAGCAAACAGGAUUAGAUACCCUGGUAGUCCACGCCGUAAACGAUGUCUACUAGUCGUUGGGUCCCUUGAGGACUUAGUGACGCAGCUAACGCAAUAAGUAGACCGCCU
rnacentral:rRNA from 1 species